AGUUUCUCUGGUUUGACCUUCAAGUAUACAACAAUGUAUGUAUGGGUUUGAGAUUGAUUUCUUCAUUUCUGUUUCUCUAUAAAUACCUACUCUUCAACAACUGAUAUAUGUACUUCUCAUCCUAAACUUGCAAUUAAUAUUAACUACAUAUAUAAAUAGAUUUUAUUUUUGUAAGAAAAAUAUGGCACCUCUCUACAAAUUGAAGUCACUUGUUUCUCUUUUAGCAAUACUUUUAUUACUCAUGUCAUCUAUUAUGGCUAUUGCUGCCCAAUCCAACGUUAAACUCGGACGAAAACUUUUCCAAAACACUUAUGUUGGCGGUUAUCCUACUACUGGCCCAGGUGGAGGCGGAGCAUAUCAUUAUCCAUAAAUAAAUAAAAAAAUACAUGGAAAAUCUCAACUUUACGGAACAUUACUUAGUCAUCUCUUCUGUCACUAUUAUAAAAAUAAAUAAAUAAAUAAAUAAAAUCAUUUUUUAAAUUCAAUGAAAAAUUAGUUAUAUGGUCAGUAAUAUAGACUAAAUACAUUACUUUUUUAAUGAAAUUAAAAAGUGAUUUUUUGUUUAUAAUAGUGUUUAGAGGGAGUAUUUAAUAUUUUUUUUUAUUUAAGGGGUUUAUUCAAAAUUCAAAUUACUUGUAUCCUAUUAUUUGGUUGUACUAUUAGAAUCUCAAUUUCAAAGCAACCAUGUGUAAUAUCAUGACCAGAGCUACUUAAUAAUCAUCAUCAGAGCUGUUUUGUAGCAUGUA